AAGUAAUCCACAAGUAAAAACAAGUGAAAUAAAGAGAGUACUUUACUAACUAUUACAAUAGUUCAUUCUUUUCAUUUACAUCAUUUUCUUUAAAUGCUUACAUAAUUCAUCCAAAAAUACAUAGUUCUCCCAAUCCUCACCUAUAAUGAAUCUCUCUCAAUGCAUAGGUGUGCUAAUGCAAAAAGGAAAGCUACUGUAC
rnacentral:lncRNA from 1 species